GACAGAGGGUGCAAACGUUGCUCGGAAUUACUGGGCGUAAAGCGCGUGUAGGCUGACCGGAAAGUCGGGCGUGAAAUCCCUGAGCUCAACUCAGGAACUGCACUCGAAACUCUCGGUCUAGAGUGGUGGAGAGGGAAGUGGAAUUCCUGGUGUAGAGGUGAAAUUCGUAGAUAUCAGGAGGAACACCAGUGGCGAAGGCGGCUUCCUGGACACCAACUGACGCUGAGACGCGAAAGCUAGGGGAGCAAACGGG
rnacentral:rRNA from 1 species